rnacentral:rRNA from 1 species
AUUGAACGCUGGCGGAAUGCUUUACACAUGCAAGUCGAACGGUAGAGGGGGCAACCCCUCGAGAGUGGCGAACGGGUGAGUAAUAUAUCGGAACGUGCCCAGUCGUGGGGGAUAACGUAGCGAAAGUUACGCUAAUACCGCAUACGAUCUAAGGAUGAAAGCGGGGGAUCGCAAGACCUCGCGCGAUUGGAGCGGCCGAUAUCAGAUUAGGUAGUUGGUGGGGUAAAAGCUCACCAAGCCAACGAUCUGUAGCUGGUCUGAGAGGACGACCAGCCACACUGGAACUGAGACACGGUCCAGACUCCUACGGGAGGCAGCAGUGGGGAAUUUUGGACAAUGGACGCAAGUCUGAUCCAGCCAUUCCGCGUGCAGGAUGAAGGCCCUCGGGUUGUAAACUGCUUUUGUACGGAACGAAAAGGUCUCUCUUAAUACGGGGGACUCAUGACGGUACCGUAAGAAUAAGCACCGGCUAACUACGUGCCAGCAGCCGCCGUAA